AUGACUGGGCGCUGUGUGGUGGCUGAGCAGCAGGGGAGUCAGGCCCUCCCAGAGACCGAUGGAGCCUUUCUAGAGCUCGUGGAAGGCUCAGGACCCCACGGGUCUUGCCAGGUCAGGAGCUCUAGUGUGGCUCAGGUGGGCCCACACCCUCAGGCUGAGGUGGGCACAGGUGCGGCCGGGAAGCUGCCGGGGCCUUGUGGAGAGCGUCGGACACAGGCAGAGCCACUCCUGCACCCACACACCCUACUGUUUUUGACCACACACCUGGGGCAGGGGCCUAGACCCGUCCAGGACUCACCGGGGGCUGCCCCAUCAUGUCUCCAGAACCUCCCCAAGAGCCAAGGUCGGACCUGCCCUGAGAGGUGUCACUCAUGUGCCAUGCAGGUGUCAAGGGCAGGACCUCAAGGGGAGUGACUUGGUCACUGAGACACGAUACCGGACACAAACAAGUUAAAUGAGGAGAGGUUUAUCUCGGCUCGCACUUUGUAGAGGUUUCAGUCCCUAGUCAGCAGCUCGAAGGCAGCGCAGCAUGGCAGAGGGGCCUGGCAGACAGAAAGCAGAGUCCAGGGAGCAGAGGCAGCGAGAUGAAGGCUUCCAGGCCCUGAACCAGGCGAUUUCUCUCAGCGCCCAGAUCCCCUCCUGACAACCCAGGUGUACCACGCCCAUGAGGCAAUCACCUCCCAGAGGCGGCUUGUGAGUGCAAGUGGCUCUGGGGACAGGUAGCUAUAAACUAUCCCCGAGGGAGAGGCACGCAAGGGCCACCUGGGGGCAGGAGGAGGGGCGCACAUUCCUGCAGGUCAGCUUUCCAAACUGGAGCUCUCUCUUCCUGGGACUGGAGCAGGUGGGGCAUGCAGUGACACCGAGUGGCCACCGGAGGGGAGCAGAGCCCUGUGCUGAGAUCACAUGCUGAGGUUGCCAGAG
rnacentral:lncRNA from 1 species